rnacentral:lncRNA from 1 species
UGAAAGUUUGUACUGAUUUCCGUGCAGUGUAUUAUCACCGUUUUCCGGAUAUAAAAUUGAAACACCUUGUAUAUUGAUAGUUUCUUUUAAGUACGCUUCAUUUAUUAUCACAAUGUGGAUAUCUUUAUUCUCAGUUAGAUUCAUUUGCAUGAGAAGUUGUUUUCUUUAACUGCCGUUUUUAUAUAAUUUCCUGUUGUUUUAUGCGCCAGUCAUUAAUUUCUUCUCCCCUCAUAGUUUUAUUAUUUAUUAGAAUUUAUCUUCUUUGCUUUGGCUUGUGUGAAUUUGUAAUUUCCUUUAGGCGCUUCAUGGAAGACGACUUUUCAAAUUGAGCCUCUAGUAUUCUUAUAUUAACUUCAUUGCCAUUAUCUCCGUUUAUCGUUUAUCAUCCUUUCAUUGUCCCUGGAUGACUUUUUCCAUUAAAUAAUUUCCGAAUAAAGAGUGCGAAGAAUCAAGUUUUUGAAAAAUGGUUCUUGCCAGAUUUUCCAUGAUGUUUUUUUGAGGAAAAUAGGAUAUAUCUAUUAUCUAUGAGUUUCAAUUAAUCUUUAAAAAAACUGAAUGUUUACUUUUGUCGGUUUCAGCGUUACUGGGAAUUUUUUGAAUUUUCAAGCCACGAAAGACACUUAUUUUCAUGCACUUGUAUGUCUGAAAAGUGCAGACCGGUUGGAAAAACGUGUAUCCUGUGGACGAGAUUGCCGAUUUAAUCAUGAUCAUGAUGAUGAUAAUACUUAUUUAAGCCCAUUUUAGCAAUUUCAUCCUCAAAUCCAGUGCUUACUAAUAAAUGUAUUAAGGAUUGAUCUCAACGUAAUAACUUUCCCAUCAGCGUUUUAAUAGUUUCAUUUUACACAUUUACGGAAGCCACAAAGUUUCUGUGUCAGUUAACGAAUAAAUCUUAAAUCUUAGUGGAUUUGGCUUAAACGGUUGAAAAAUGACGUUACGAAUGGAAAUGCUCAAAUAAUAUCAUUCACAGCCACAAUAGCUGCUGAUUUAACCAGCCUCGUUGCGGUUUUUCAUCACGAUAAUUUAGCCAAAACCUCAAAACUGAAAUGUGAGGUUUGUGGGUCAGACUUGUAAAGUUGAGUGUAAUUUGCGUGAACCUGUAAUUGUUCGAGAAUAUGUGUCCAGAACUCCAGAUUGUGUUUUCGCGUCACCCACACACCGAAUCGUGGAACGGUGCCAGCGAUAUGAGUAUGAAACUGUUGUCUUGUUGUGUUGUGUACGAAAAAAUGUGAAAAGUGGGAUUUGUUACGCACACGGCGCUGAUUAUGGGAAAGUUCGUUUUGACUAGGGGGACAGUAGUGCGUUAAACACACAUGCCAUUGCCCAUCGAAAUGAGCAAAAACACUUCGGUAUAUUAAAGGCAUCCAGCAAUAUAACGACACUUCAGACAGCGAUUGCGUCACAAAAAAAAGCAGUGACCCGAGUUAAUUACGUCGGAAAUGCCCUGACACUAAUGAGUCCCAAAGUUCAUUCACUAACGGUCAACGAAGUCGUCAAAACAGACGGGGGCCAAAGCUCUUUUGGUCGGGCGGGCUUCGAACGAAGAAGAAGAAGGCAGGUCGGUGGUCACUGGUCAGUUCUCGGAAACGCGGAUCGCACGGUCGCAUUCCAAGCCGUGGAAUGCGGCCGCCGCUGCAUGGACUGAAAGAAACCGACAACACGCCACUGAAGUACAGGGACAGGAACAACAACAACAAGUAACAAACUAAUAAAACAAUCAAUGUUUUCUAAUCGAGCGAGGAAGGCCCCGAUAGCCAACGGGAAAAAUAGCGGGAUGUUGGUAAAACAACUCCAGAGAAACUUUAAGAAAUAUAAAGAAAUCUGUUUACAAGAAUGUUUGCAUCUCUGCAAGUUUUUAAUGUUCACAAGAAUGUUUGCAUCUCAUAUCAGGGCUCGAUGUUAAAAGGAAGUUUUCUGGUAAAUAAAACGGCAAGGAUUAAGCAAAUUACAAGAAACGUAAACAAAAAAACUACAAGAACAUUUAAAAUAUCUGUAUCGCGAAAACCAAUCGAUUACGGAUGUAAACAGUUUUUGUACGAUUGUUGGUCGUAGGAAAUGCAACCUAAUUUUGGCUCACCCUGUCUGCAGGCAGCAGAAAACAACCUAGAAACUAAAGGUAGAAUUUCACACAAAUUGAUAGACGAACGGAAUUCCUCCAGUUUAUUUAUUCCCCCAGUGAGUGAGUGAGUCCCAGAAGUAAUGUCGACAUUCAGCUGUGGAAAAAUGUAAAAUUGAAUUAAAAAGCAGGUGCUUUCAUUUGAAAAAAUAAAGUUGUUGGUCGUAACGUCUUUUCGGACCACCAUGUAUAAAUAAAUUUGGUAUCAAAAAUUGCA